rnacentral:lncRNA from 1 species
AUAUAUUCAAAUUUAUUGGUCACAUGCACUAAAUACCUCCACCACCAAUCCUAAUCCAGCACCAAUCUUGGUCACAAGUCACCACCACCCCCAUCGCCGCCUACACCACACCAACACUGUCAACAAAAUAAACACAAAUUCAACAAAAAAAAACCACCAUCGCCGCCUACACCACACCACCACCAAUUCAAAUUGUACAUAGUCAACACCACCACCAUCACCCCCGCCACCCAUCCCAUCCACAACUACCAUCUCCACCACCACCACCACCACCACCGCAACACCUCCUGGCCAUUUCACUCAAUUUUACUUCCGACGGUGAAUUGGGUGCAGCGACAGUGCCAUUUUAUCACCACCAACGCCGUCUCCAACAAACUUCAUUUUCAACUUCAAAAUCACACCAUCUUAAUACCACAACCACCAAAAAAUCACGAUUUUCAACUACAAAAAACCCAUUGCCACAGUCAAAUUACACCACAGAUCUACCACCACCACCAACAACAACAAAACACCGCCAUUGCCUCAAAUUCUCACCAAAGAAAAUCCCCAAAUCUAUUGUCGGCACCACCACCACUGCCUCAAAUCACAACCCUUCUACUAAGAAGUGGCAAAGCUUCCCCAUUAUGUGGCGGCAUUGCACCGAGGUCUUGAGAGUGGACGAAUUGGAGAAGCUGCAUCUCCGAACGCCACCUGUUGCGAGGUUUUCAUGAGUUGCCAGUACAGGGACAUCGGCAUCGCGCGACGCAGUGUGAACGAUUAUUGGGUGUGGCAGUAGUAACCUUCGACAGCAAUGGUGUCGAGCAAAGCCGAUCUCAGAUCGCCACCUGUGAAAAGGAAAUGAGAGAGAGCCAGAAAGGGGAG